GCCCGUCCGCAUUCCACGGCCUCGGCACCAUCCGUCUCGUGACGCGUGGCGGCGGACCUGAAAUUUCCUAGAUCUCAGUUCUGAGCAGCUGGCGUCUCCGUCUCCCACAGAACACUCUCUCCCACGCCGUCCCUGCAUCCUCUCGACCUCGCCGUCAUCACUCGCAUCCCUGCCGUCGCGCGUGCUCGACCCACCUCACAGUCGGGCAUGACCUUCGACCACCGGCCCUCCUUCACCGUCGACCACGCGCUCAGCUGCGCCUAGGUCGCCGGCACCGACGACCACGAGGAUGACCUGCUCCUCUGCGAGACCUGCUGCUCCGGCGACCGUAACCUGCUCCUUUGCGACCGCGAGCUUCACAUCUUCUGCCUCCUCCCAUCGCCGCCAAGGUCCCCAUCCGCGGAUCUACCCGGUUCUGCCCCGUCUGCGCCUCACCCGCCAAGGCACUCAAGAGUGCGUCUUUCUCUCACCCUCCUCGCCGCCUCCAUCUCACCAUUUCUCCACUCUAAUGCGACCUCACAUAAAUGGUCAUUCGUAGGUACACUUCUGUGUGGUUUCAGACUUAUUUUUUCAGAGUAUAAUCUUCACUAUUGUUGCAUUGUGUCUUACUUUCUUGGCAGAGUUGUUGGACAAUGUGGUGGGUGAGGUGAUUAAACAGAUCCAUUGUUGAGCCAUAUAGUUUCAUCAUUCGUAAUCAAAUGUGUGACUAGAUUUGUUUUUUGUCAAACAGAUAGAAACUGGUGGUGCUACAACAAUAUUGUUGGACAAAGUAUAAGACAAAUGGGGACAAAGUCAUUGACAAAUGGAAUGGAACACCAGCUUUACUAAUUCAAGGUGGUCUAUGGCUUCUCCUAAGGUCGGGUGAUGAGUACAAGUAACAAGUGCAUAGUUCAGAUGAUCAGCCCUGCUGGAUUAUUCUCCUUCGGGCUUACAUCAAAUGUGCAGGGGAAAAUCUCUGGGGGAAAGUCCUAGCUGCCAAAGAGCCAUGCACCUUAUUUACAGCCUCAAGUUGUGUCUCUCGGAGGAGUGUGAUACUUCUCCAGUCUUGCUUUGUGCUGAACUGCUGAUGGAUGAUCCAUGAUAGACCGAAGAAUGGUAGGCUGCCCACCUCAAUCUUGCUACUUCUGUUUUCUUAUUAUGUUUGACAUUGUAUCUCUUGUGCCUCUUAUGCCUCACUACAAAGUAAUCGUCCAAUUGUCUGGGAAGGAGCUACACGUGGUGCAGAUUUACUCCGUGCUCCCCGCUGCCUCACGCGCACCAAGGUUGUCGCGCUCAUGGUCAUGGACAGCUCGGCGCUCGUCAAUGUUGUCACGGUCGCCCACCAUCCUCGCCCUUCCGUCGUCGCUGGCGUUGUUCGUGUUCCCGGCCCCGAGGAGGUGUACGCGGCAAUAGACUUGGUGUUGCCCGUUGCGGCGAAGUCUGCGGUGGUGGCGAAUCUGUAACAGAGAGCGGCGUACGUUAGGCUGAGGAGCUCACCGAUGAGGUCAAUGGCCUAAAAAGGUAUAUCUUUUUCUACUCUUGUUGUGUGUCUGUAUUCUGUAGUAUGUAGCUUUUUUGCAAUUCAGGCCACCGGUGGUACAACCCUGCUAAGUUCUUACAUAUACAGGGGGUUUCUUAUGAGUUCCAUGUGAAAUUGUUCUUGUGGUCGUGUGUGAAGGAAAAUGGAGCAGUUAUUGUGCAGGGAUGAUGGGGGCUUCGGUGCAGAAAGAGACUACAAUCCAUUGAAAGUAUGCAAAAGAUCAGCUUCUUUACCCUCUUAUAAUUCGUUGUUCCCUUAACUUUUGAAUGAUGAUGUGAAUAUUUCUAUAUUCUUGGAUAUGUAUUUGCACCUCUUUUUUUUUGCAAAAUCAUAGGCAUUAGAGCAUUUCCAUGUUUCUGUAUGCUGGGUUGUCCAAGUCAUGUACAUCAUUUCGUAUAUUGACGGAAGUUUUUUUUUGAAGUGAUACAAUAUAAUGCCAGUCCUGGACUUCCGGUUCAGUUUGUCUGAUGUUUCAUAUUGCUUGCUAUCUGUACGACUACAACUAACUCCUUGUCCAGUAUCUGAAAUUCUGAAUCCAGGAUGUAUCGAUGUGCAUGAUCUGGGUAGCAUGAACUACAGCUUCUCUGUUUUACUUAUCACACUGACUAUACUAGCUGAUAGAACUAUUUGGCAUGCCCAUUUUUUAUGCACUGAUGAAAGCUUAUCAAUUUGUUUGUCAGGAGAAGCAGUAAAGUACCAGAGGACUAAUGAAAAGCUUGAGAAGCGUGUCCUCUGUUUGAAGGUAAGGGCAUGCAUGCAGCAACAUUGUAUGCUAAGAAAAAUGUGGGAUUUAAUUUCAAACAAUAUGAGAACCGAGAAACCAUGCCUGCUACUAAUUUGGCUUCAGUAAUUUCAAACAAAAUGAGAAACCAUGUCUAUUAUCGAUUUGUCUUCGUUUAUUAGAUUUACAGAGAAGCUAUGACUUUGAUAUCUAAUGCCUAACUUUGAAGGAAACUCAUUGGAUGGAGCUAACUUGUUUCCUGUUUGGUCCAUUUCCAUUUUGCCGUACCAUUUUAUUUUUAGUUAUUGUUUCAUUAAUAUAAGUUGUGUACCAAAUACACCUUACUGUCAACUGACCAGGGAAAAGCGCAAGGUUUUAUUGCAACCGUGCAGUCUGUAGCUAUAUUGUUGGCACCACUAUUUAUGAGUCCACUGACCUCUUACUUCAUUUCAGAGGAAGCGCCCUUCGACUGCAAAGGUUUCAGCUUUAUUGUGGCGAGUUUCUUCUUGGCAAUCUCGUCCUGCCUCGCUUGGAUGCUUAACCCAGGAAUGAAGGACAAGGGCACAAAAGCUGCCGUUUCAGACAGCGCUGAUGAGGAAGCAGCGCAAGCACCACUACUGGCAAAAUGGACCAGACCAUGACUCCAGCUCCAGGAAACUGAGCUAUAAAGCUCAGCUGGAGUGUGCGUAAAAUUGUAGGAUAUGUGAAUUAGAGUGCCAACAACAUAGGGCUUGCUUGUACCUGUAGUAUAGUGUCUGUACAUACCUCAGAACGAGAAAGCCGAUAAAGCUCGGUGUUUUGUGCCAUCCAGCCUUCACUGUUUCAGGCAAAUGGAUCUUUAU